rnacentral:rRNA from 1 species
UCAAGAAACUUCCACAAUGGGCGAAAGCCUGAUGGAGCGACGUCGCGUGAUGGACGAAGUGCUUCGGCACGUAAACAUCUUUUAUGUGGGAUGAAAUUAUUGACAGUACCACAUGAAUAAGGGGCUCCUAACUCUGUGCCAGCAGGAGCGGUAAUACAGAGGCCCCAAGCGUUAUCCGGAAUCACUGGGCGUAAAGGGUGUCGAGGCGGUUGUAUUAGUCGUUCGUAAAAUCUACGAGCUUAACUUGUAGGCGGCGAACGAAACGGUACGACUUGAGGUUUGGAGAGGUGCGUGGAACUCACGGUGUAGGGGUGAAAUCCGCUGAUAUCGUGGGGAACACCAAAGGCGAAGGCAGCGCACUGGCCAAAAUCUGACGCUCACACACGAAAGCUAGGGUAGCGAAGAGGAUUAGAUACCCGCGUAGUCCCUGAGCGGGCUGGCAAGGCGCAU